rnacentral:lncRNA from 1 species
AUAAAUGAAAAGAAUUCCUAAGGCCAUUCCACAUACAGCCUAGAAAGGGGUUAUAUUACCCAUCAAAAUGUGUAUUAUAUUUGUCACUUGUCAUGUCCUUUGUUUAAGCUUGUUGAACAUGUACUCUGAGAGAAAGGGUUCUCCUGCCCCAUACUGUAGUGUGAUGGUUUGAAUGAGAAUGGUCCCCAUAGGCUCACAAAUGAAUACCUGGUCCCCAGUUGGUGGAAUUGUUUGCACAGAAAAGUAUUAUCUGUGGCCUCGCUAGAGGAGUUAUGUCACUGGGGUUGGGCUUUGAGGCUUCAAAAGCCCACGCUGUUACCAGUUAGGUUCCUCUGGCUCAUGCUCUCAGCUACCAUUCCAGUACCUGUCUAUCUGCCUGCUGCUGUGCUCCUGGCCAGGAUCAAGGACUCUGGACCCAUAAGCCCCAAAUUAAAUGCAUCUUAUGCUGUUUUGCCAUGGCAUCUUAGCAAUAGAAAAGUGACUAAGACACCCAGCACAUUUAUUUUAAGUGUCCUCAAAGGCACCUUUUACAAGAACAAGUUGGCCCUCUGGCUCUAUAACAGAGAAGAAAAAAACAAAAAACAAAAAAGCAAGCUAAUAAGAGUGUUUAAAAGACUGUGUCCUUCAGAAUACCUAGAAGGUAAGUGAUUUCCAAGCAGACUUAUUACUGUUUAUAAUAUAAAAACGCCUGCAGUGGGAAUGGGAAAGUAGAAGUUCAGCCAGAGAAGCUUAUUCAAGGGAAAAACCUCAACUGGAAAACAGAUGAUUGUCUCACUUCCCAGUCAGUUUCUGAGGGAUGCUGUUAGCACCCGAUUUGAUGUCAUCUGCUAUCACUUGCUCAGAAGCCUCACUCUACAGGACUCUUUUAAUUGGGAAAGCCAGAUGGCUGUCAAGGGGCUUCUCCAGGUGAUUUCUGCUGGAAGUUUGUAAGCCCCUAUUUGAUAAUGCAGUCUUAUGUUUGCUCUCCCAGUCAGGCUGCUCCAUUAAUGCUAGAUGUCCAAAGUGCUAAACUGGAUGGUGUUUUGCUAUCUGUAGCUUUGUACUACUGCUUGCUAUUUGUUCCCUAACUUUUUGCUUACUGUAGACUUAAUAAACUCACUCAAAACGGAAAGCACUGCUAUGAUAGAUCACUCUUCUGUCUGUCGCACAGUCACUUCAACAUCUUAGUGUAAAAAAACAUCCAGCUGGUAGCACUGGGGAGAGUGGGCCCUGUGCUUCAACCGGGCAGCACAGUGGUGCUGGCUCUGGAGACUUGGGUGCAGGUAAGCCAGUCCUGAGUGCAUGAGAGCAAGAGAGCUGACUCUGUUUCCAGCUUCUAGGCUGGCUUAUCUGGAGCAGUGCUGGAGAGCCUAGUGCUGCAGGUGGGGGAGCCGACAAGCUGAGCAGCUCAGCUUCCACCCAGGCCUGGAUCCAGGGCUCUGAGUUGGCCCACCCCAACAUCUACAUCAUUUGUGAAUUGUUGUUGCACCUGAAAGGCUGGUUUUGCUGAUCUAAAGCUACAGGAUCGCCAUGAUACAGGGCAACAACAGGAUAACAGGAGGAGUCCCAUCAGGACAGAAGUCAGAGACCUUGAACCAGACCAAAGAUUGCAAUGAGCAUUUACAAGUGAAGAUGUGUGUCAGAGGGAUACACUGUGGGACUCACUGUGACAAGCUACAGCUUCCAUGACAAGAUGUCUAUGCUUUGUGUGUGAGAGACUGUCUUGUGGAGAGGUUGCAAGGGCAGAAGCUGGGUUCAAAGGGAUGGAGAUGAGUGGGACAGGUGAAUGAUGUGAAGCAAUCAAUAAAGGUUUAAACAACAAAAUAGAAAAACCU